UCCCUGGUAGUCUUGUGGUUAAGGACACAGCAUUGACACUGCUGUGGCUCUGGUUUGAUACCUAGUCCAGGAA
rnacentral:tRNA from 1 species